CCUGCGGUGCGGGGAAAGGGGGGCUGCUCCGCGCUGCUUUACUCAGCAUCUCCCUUUCCCCUGGGGAGCGGGGGUGCAGCCUGCCUGCACCCAGGAUGGGUGGGCCACAGGCUGUGUGUGCCUGGCUUUGCAGAGCCACAGCAUGACUAAGCCACUGCAACUGAGUGGGAUGCUCAUGGUUAAACACCAUCAGCAGCCCGUUUUCCCAUCACGCUGUUUUAAGAGAUGAACUCUUUGCUCCGCGGGAGGACACGGGGAAGCAGCAGGGCCCGUGCCAGCAGGUCCCUGGCCGAGAGUUGUUUUGCAGCCCUGCGGCAAGCUGGGGGGAGUGGGGGACGCGGGAGCCCGGCUGGCUGGGCAGCGAGGCACGGCAGGGCGCUGGCUGCAGUUCCUCCCUCCCUGACCAGCCCUCCAGCAACUGCUCUGCCUUGGACAAGGCACCCAGGGGUGCUGCUUGCCGGGCAGGGGAUGGGGGUGCAUGGGUGUGCAGCCGCUGGAAUUGAUGCUGGGAACUCUGUGGGCGACUACGCACGUGUGGGUCUCCCUCCUGGCAGGGAUGAAGGGCUGCCUGCGAUGGGGCGCGUUUUGGGCGAGCAUGCUGCAGCCAUGCCUUCUUGUGUCAGGAGAGGGGUUUUGCCUCACAACUCCCCGCGUGGGCUUCACGUGGCGUGGGCUGUGCCCCUGUGCCCCUCCGUGCCGGCACUGGCGCGGCAGGCAGCUCUGCCUGCUCCCCGUGCCCAGCCACCUGUUCUGCUGGCACCGAGACCCUCGGCACCUCUCGGAUGUUCGCUGCUCGCAGUUGUGUUUUCCAGCUGGUCCCAAAGUCCUGAGUCACUCUGCCGUUUCCAUGGAAACAGCCUGGCUGGCGGGAGUGGGCUCUGGGGGGGAGAGGGUGCUGGCUCGGGGGGGAGAGGGUGCCGGCACCAGGGAAGGGCUCGAGGGGCACAGGCGCUGCUCCAGCACAUCGCCCUGCUGCCGCUGCUUGUGCCAGGGCUGGAGCCGGCACCUGCGUUGCACGGACCCUUGCACCUUCUUCCACUCCUUUUCCCUUCCUCCCUGUCCUGGGGAAGUGCAGAGGGAUUUCCCUGGCAGCGGCAAGGGAGCCCAGGAUGAGCCCAGCCGGGCCGAGGGUACAACUUCUGGGGAGCUGUCGAGGGAGAGGGACAGGCUGGAGGCAGUGAGAGGAGCAGGGUGUUUCGAGUGCCCUGUGAGAGCCUUGGAAACAGCACUGUCAGUGUCGGUUACUGUGAGCUCUCCUGCCUAAAGCUGCCGGCACCCCCCAGUUGCCCAAACACGGCCGCCUCUGGGAAGGGAACCUGCGAGGAAGACUUGCGGUGAGAGGCAGGGCAGCCUGCGGAUGCCGUGGGCCCCCCCUGCCCCGAGUAGGAGGGUGCCACAGUGCUCCCUACACGCUGCUCAGGUGUAACACCCGCCUGCUUGUGGAGGGAAGAUGUGCGAGUGGCACUGAGCCCUGCAGCCGCCCUGCUGAGUCCCGCCUGCCUGGCAGCACCUGAGUUCAGCUGCCAGCGCAGCCUCCGGCACGGCAGCUCAACAAGCAGGUCAUUCCCCUCCGACCUGGGAAGACCAUCCCCGAAAUGGGAGCCCACCACUCGGCAUCUCCUCCUGGGCCUCCGCUGUGCUGUGGCUGGCGGCCGCGCUCCCUGCUCCCUGUGCUGGUGACUCACAGAUGCCAUUUGGCUUAAUUCAUCUCCUCCGAUCUCCCAGCGCUCCUGGGCUGUCUUGCUGGCUUCUUGCCUGCUCAACCUCCCUGGAGCGCUGCUGAGAGGCAGGGGAAGUGGCGGAGGAAGAGGAAGAAGGCAGGUGAUUAUGGACCCACCGCUGUUUGUGGGGUGGGGGAGGCUGCACUGCCUUCGCCCACCCUCUCCCUUCCUCUGGGCUCAAGGCUGCAGGAAGCAGGGUGGGGGAGAGCAAAGGCUCAGCAUCCCUCGGGGACAGCCUGGUCCCAGUGCAGCUGCAGGCAGCCGACAGGGAUGCAGGCAAGGCAGUGCAGCGCAGUCUGGCGUGCUGUGACCGGAGGGGUUUAGGGUCAGGGAUGGGGCAGCAGUGACCCCAGCCCAGUGCAAAAAGAGCCCACGUGCCUUCUCGCAGGCCCCUCGCAGCACCAGCAGUGCUGGGGGGCUGGAAAGUACACGUGACUUGCCCCUACCCCAAGUGUCCAUCUCCGAGCCCCAGCUGUCUGGAGCAACCUGCCCGACCCGGCUCCCGCCUUGGGGCUGCAUCUGCUCAUUGUCUUCGGUGGAGCCGAGCUGGAGGCAGAGCAGAGGGACAUUCCAGCCGGCAGCACUUCAUAGCAGAGAGGCAUCUGUGAGGGCAGCAUUUCGGGUAACUCCCAUGGUCGCAGCAUCCCACAGGCUAGGGCUGAGGAGGCAAAACAGCGCAUGCCUCACGCAGGACUCGGACACAGCCCCACACGGCAUAGCCCUCGCUCCGGGUGCUGCUCUGGUAUCCUGAAGAGGAAUGGGCCAAUUUAAGAACAAGGUCCCUCAGGGCAGGGAUGGGAGAGCAAGUGGCAAACCUGCUGCGCCUGUGUGCGGGAGACACCCUCCUGCAGUGCACUGGCUGCAGCUGCUGCUCCACCAGCCUGCUCUGAGCCCUGCGGAGCCAUGUGCGGCUCCUCCUUGUCAGGUGUUUCACACCAGCCUGGACGGAUGAGCAAGGUGGAGCGUGAAUAGAAGUCAUCCCAAGCCAUGCUGGCAGCUCCCAGGUGCCAGGCACUUGUGCUGCCCCAGAGCACUCAGCUGCCAGGCACCGCUGCCUCCCAAGCCAGGGGCUGGGCUGAGUGGGAACCGCAGCCUCUUGGGGACAGGCAGUGAUGGGAGGAGGUGGGAGAGUGGCCAGGGGCUGAGAGGAGGCUCCAGCUGGCUUUAAAGGCCACAGAUGAGACAUCAGGGAGGGAAGACUUCUCCCAGAACCUGCCUCUCCCUGGCACUGCCAACGUGAAGGGUGAUGAGGGGCAUCCGAGGCUGAAGCUGGGCUGUAUCCUCACGCCUGCUCUGCCACGGAGGUGCCUUGAAAUGCCCCGGUUCCUCCCCUCCGCAGCUCGGUGCAUUGCAAAGGGGAGUGGGUCCAGGUGGGGGGAGAACCUGAAAAGCUCGCGGCCAGUGAUCCAGCAGGAAUUGGGACCAAGGAGGCAUGUGGGCUCUGGCUGCCAUUUGCAGGGGAGCUGGCAGUGGGUUUCUGCUGCAUCCCAGGACAAUCCGAGUUGCAUCUGCUCCAGCAUCCAUCAGCAGCGCAGCCAGGGGUAGAAGCUGAGGCUGUGUGAAGGAUGCAGUGUGGCUGGCCAUCACUAGAGAGCAGGAAAGUGCUCCCACUGCAGCUCCCACCUAGGCAGCAUACAGGAGCCCCCUGGGCCAGGAGAUGCCAGCAGGGACCCUCCUGUCCUGCCCUGACUUAGCAGAUCCAGAAAAAACACUUUCUCCGAGGGAUAGAGAUAGUGGAUGCUGGGGCCAGGUCUCCCCUCUACAGGGUGGGUAACCCCAAACCAGUAGCAGCAAUAGCCAAGCACCUGGACCGAGGACUUUGGUCCCCCGGCUACGUGCCACAUCCCUGGCAGGCAGCAGCCCAGGAGAAAGCAUCCCUCACUCAAAGCAUCGUUAUGAGUCUAAAGCACGGCUCUCAGCGUGCAGACACGGUGAUGGCUGGCAGAGGGGUCACCUGCAAGCAGCUGUGCCGGAGCCCCUGUGCUGGGGCCCAGCUCUAAGCCACUGCUCGCAGCGAGAGGUCUCAGCUCCUGCAGCCUCCUGCCUGUACUGAGCAGCUGGGGCAACUGGUAAAUAAUAAAAAUAAUAAUUAAAAGAGAAAGGAAGGAGGAUUUUGACUCGCCUGCAGGUCUGAACAGCCCUCCUGGCAUUGCUCGCUGGGCAUCUUUGGGGAUAGGGGCACGUUGAGGAGGUGGGGACGACACGUCAUGCCAGCUGCCGUGGUCUCUGCAGGGGACGCACACCAGAAGCAUUGCACCAUCCCGAGCCCGUCGGAGAUUUCAGCGUGUUCUGGGCUUGAACGGGCCUCGUGUGCUGAAAUCUGCUGCUGGCCCAUUGGCCUCUCUUGGAGACCUCAGCUGAGCAGCGGCUCUGACAGCCCCAGAUGCUGUGGCCCGUGUGCUGGGGCUGAGCAGGGACCAGGGCUCUGCAGUGCCUGGCGGGUCCACGGGGGUUGUGGCUGACAUACGGGCAUCAGGAGGGCAUCUGGUGGUACCCCCAGCAGCAGGAUGCUUGCGUCCUCCUUAGCAGUCCUUGCUCAACCCGUGACUUCUCUGUUGGG